UACUGUUUGCCAUCAUAAAUAGUAUGUACUUCCUAUGAUAAUGAUAGAUAAUUCGACCUGCACCAUUCUAUUAGUGGUUAGAAAUUUUAUUGUAUGCAUAGAUUUCUUUUUUCUUCCCCCUGUGGUUAAUUUAACAAAAUAAUGCAAAGAAAAUAAAAUGUACUGUUAUUGAUGUUAUGUUAGUAAGUUGUGCUAAAGUCCAUCCUUUGCAUAGCUCUUAUUCUUAUCAGUAUGAUAUUUGGCUUCUCUAUUUCCUAUAUGAAAAUGGCAUGUCUCGA
rnacentral:misc_RNA from 1 species